rnacentral:tRNA from 1 species
GCGAGAGUGGUGGAACCGGCAGACACGCCAGAUUUAGGAUCUGGUGCUUCGGCGUGGGGGUUCGAGUCCCCCCUCUCGCA